rnacentral:rRNA from 1 species
UACGGAGGGGGCUAGCGUUGUUCGGAAUUACUGGGCGUAAAGCGCACGUAGGCGGCUUUGUAAGUUAGAGGUGAAAGCCCGGAGCUCAACUCCGGAAUUGCCUUUAAGACUGCAUCGCUAGAAUUGUGGAGAGGUGAGUGGAAUUCCGAGUGUAGAGGUGAAAUUCGUAGAUAUUCGGAAGAACACCAGUGGCGAAGGCGGCUUGCCAGAACGCGCUCGACGGUGAGGGAUGGAAAGCUGGGGGGAGCAAACCGG